rnacentral:lncRNA from 1 species
GAAGCACAGGCGGAAGAGCUCCCGGUUGGCAGCGGCGAGAGCGGAGGAAGCGGAGGCGACCGAGGCGGAGGCCGCGGCCGAGCCCGGUCCCGAAGGGGCGCUGGAGGGGGACGAGCGUCCCUUUGGGAAUCCCGACUCCUUGACCCGACCCCCGAUAAGAGCCUGUAGAGCGGCAGGCAAUUCUUCAUAUAACUUUCUUCAAGAGAAUCCAGUAAAAGAAAAAGCAAAGGCUUAUGACAGUAACGAACCUGAGAAACCAGCAGGGCAUCGACCAAACUUUUAUACACCGUUAAAAGAAAGAAAGACUGACUUCCUUGAGAAAAAUCAAGAGCACUAUUCAACGACAUCACAGAGUAAGUAAAAAAGUGGAUACCUAGGUUUUCCCUGUAAUUAAGUGAAAAGUACAGAAUUCUUUUCCUUUCCUCUGCUUGUGGGUUUUCUUGUGCCCUGGGACAGUCUGUCUGUCUGGGAAGGUGGAAAGAGGCCCAGGAGGCAGAUCCAAAUGGAAGCUGGAGCACAUUCCAGAGCCCUUCUAUGAGGUUAUUCAACUCGCUGACCACAGAAAAUGACCCACUUUUUUUUUUUUCUUUUUUUGGCUCAAUUAGGCAAUGGAGUUGACUCAUGGGACAAUUUGUAAGUGCAGAGCAUGUACUGGUGGCAUUGUGGGGGUGAGCUGAGGAAGGGAACAAAAGGUAGCAGUGAAUGUUAGUUUGUACACAUCGCCUUCCC